GAACGGUGUCUUCGGACACAGUGGCGGACGGGUGAGUAACGCGUGAGAAUCUGCCAUCAGGUCUGGGACAACCACUGGAAACGGUGGCUAAUACCGGAUGUGCCCUUCGGGGUGAAAGGUUAACUGCCUGUUGAUGAGCUCGCGUCUGAUUAGCUAGUUGGUGUGGUAAGAGCGCACCAAGGCGACGAUCAGUAGCUGGUCUGAGAGGACGAUCAGCCACACUGGGACUGAGACACGGCCCAGACUCCUACGGGAGGCAGCAGUGGGGAAUUUUCCGCAAUGGGCGAAAGCCUGACGGAGCAAUACCGCGUGAGGGAGGAAGGCUCUUGGGUCGUAAACCUCUUUUCUCAGGGAAGAACACAAUGACGGUACCUGAGGAAUAAGCAUCGGCUAACUCCGUGCCAGCAGCCGCGGUAAUACGGAGGAUGCAAGCGUUAUCCGGAAUGAUUGGGCGUAAAGCGUCCGCAGGUGGCUAUGUAAGUCUGCUGUUAAAGAGUCUAGCUCAACUAGAUAAGAGCAGUGGAAACUACAAGGCUAGAGUGCGUUCGGGGCAGAGGGAAUUCCUGGUGUAGCGGUGAAAUGCGUAGAGAUCAGGAAGAACACCAGUGGCGAAGGCGCUCUGCUAGGCCGCAACUGACACUGAGGGACGAAAGCUAGGGGAGCGAAUGGGAUUAGAUACCCCAGUAGUCCUAGCCGUAAACGAUGGAUACUAGGCGUGGCUUGUAUCGACCCGAGCCGUGCCGUAGCUAACGCGUUAAGUAUCCCGCCUGGGGAGUACGCCGGCAACGGUGAAACUCAAAGGAAUUGACGGGGGCCCGC
rnacentral:rRNA from 1 species